GAAGUCUACAAGUCAGAAACUCCAAUAGUCAAUGACAAAUAAAAGCUCAAAAAAAACCUGACUCUGUAGCCAAAGGAUUGAGAAAAAAUUGUCCUAACAAAACAGGAAGCAGGCUAUGGCUUUUGCUGGGAAUACAAACAGCCAAGACCUGUGGAAUUUCCAUAUGCAGGGACUUCCAAGUGUAAAGUGCUUAUUUUAGGACCUGCAGUGGGAAGGAGACAUGCAGGUUAAUUUUUUUCUGCCACAUUGAUCCUACACAUUUCUGAGAGACAGAGCAAAAGUUGUGAAGGGGGAUCCAAAGUGUCAGGAAUCAAAAGCUUACAUGGAUCAAUGGUAAGCUAAUCUUGCCAUUCUCUUUGUCCUUCGCCUGCCAGAAUGUUUGGAGUCUCUCAAAUUAAAUCCAGUUACUCUGUAGCAGGUCCAGCCUUGUCAAUGCCAAUAAACAUGGUCCAACAAAAAGCAAGUAAGUAAUACAAUCAGUCUAAAGAAGAAAACUGGCAGGUCUGCCACGCAUUUUAUGCUGACCACUGCCCUUCUACUCAUCUAGACUAAAGUCACAUGAACUACUUCGGCAUUUAUGUCAAAAUAUUAAGUCAUUGAUGUUUGUGUCAACUGAAGUUGAAGUCCCUAAGAAUUUUUGUUUUAAUAUAAUCUGCUGUUAUGGCCAUUUGGUUCUUUGAAAUUAAUUUCAUGGCUUUCACUUGCAGUUAUUAGAGGUCACUUGUCAGAUGUGGUCUAUUUUUCUAGUCUGUCAAAAUCAUCUUUGUAUCACAAUUUUGUGCUCUAAUAUUUCAUGUUAGCAAAAAUGUAAUAUCUGUAUGCUAUCUAUGUGCUAAAAUUAAGCCAAUGAUAAAUAUACCCAAUAAACAAAGGUCAAGUUUAAA